UGUUUAAUGUGAUUUAUGUAAUUAUAUAUCGCUUAUGUGAUAUAAUGAAAAGUUAUUUCGUGUCUAUUCAUCUAUAAUUAAACUGGUUGAUAUGGGAUUUAUAACGUAGGACAUUUCGUAGAGCGGUUUAUGUAAUUGUAAUGAUAAAAUAGUUCAACAUUCAAUAACUACGAGUUUAAAAGGGAGUGUAUUUCAAACAACAAACAACUUAAGCAUGUUAUUAAUAUAAUACUGUUUAUAAAGAUUGACUUUGCAUUGUAUUUUGUAGUGAGUCGAAUGAUGAGACGUGGCAGAGGAUUAAAUCCUCUCAAAGAUGCCAUACACCAUGUGAAAAUGGGGAAAGACAAAAACAUAAUAUCAGAGCGAUACAUUAAUCCCGCCAAAGGACAUCGAUGCAGGUGAAGAAAUAUUAUACGAUUAUGGAGGACAUAACUUGCCAUGGCGUUCUCGCCAUGGACAGGAACAUUACAAGAACCUUCAUGAGCCCGUUGCUCCAAC